rnacentral:lncRNA from 1 species
UUUAGCCCGGCUGUGAGGCUUAACAGAUGUGGCAGAACUGAAGCAUGGAAAGUCUGUCCACGGGAGAAAUGUAUCAGCUAUCUUGAGACGUGAGAUGCCAACAGCUAUGAACCUCACUCCUCAUCUGAUACCUGCCAUGGGAAAAGCAUGUGAAAGCAGACUCAAGUUUUUAAGGUUCUACUCAGAAAGGCCUGUAUACUCUUGAGGUAAAGAGCAAUCAAUACUGUGACCCUCAGAAUUCUUCAAGCUAUUCUUGAGGCCCUUGUGCUCAAAUUCAAUUUCUACAAUGGUAAAAUUACAAAUCUAGUUGAAGUUGUUGAAUCUUUUUUUUUUCCUAUAGUAGUCAUUCUUUGUCCCUCGCUCUUUCCACUCUCUUUUUGUUCCUCCUCUCUUCCAAAAGUGAAUUAAUUUUCAAGUUCUUUUC